rnacentral:rRNA from 1 species
CCCUAGUAACGGCGAGUGAAGCGGCAACAGCUCAAAUUUGAAAUCUGGCCUCACGGUCCGAAUUGUAAUUUGUAGAGGAUGUUUCUGGCGACGUGUCUUCCGAGUUCCCUGGAACGGGACGCCAUAGAGGGUGAGAGCCCCGUCCGGUCGUACACCUAGCCUCUGUGAAACUCCUUCGACGAGUCGAGUAGUUUGGGAAUGCUGCUCUAAAUGGGAGGUAUACGUCUUCUAAAGCUAAAUACCGGCCAGAGACCGAUAGCGCACAAGUAGAGUGAUCGAAAGAUGAAAAGCACUUUGAAAAGAGGGUUAAAUAGUACGUGAAAUUGCUGAAAGGGAAGCGCUUAUGACCAGACUUGGGCUCGGUGAAUCAUCCGGCGUUCUCGCCGGUGCACUUUGCCGUCCCAGGCCAGCAUCAGUUCGCGCCGGGGGAUAAAGGUUUCGGGAAUGUAGCUCCCUCGGGAGUGUUAUAGCCCGUUGCGUAAUACCCUGGCGUGGACUGAGGUCCGCGCUCUGCAAGGAUGC